GGGUUGUGAGGUUAAGCGACUAAGCGUACACGGUGGAUGCCCUGGCAGUCAGAGGCGAUGAAGGGCGUGCUAAUCUGCGAUAAGCGCCGGUAAGGUGAUAUGAACCGUUAUAACCGGCGAUACCCGAAUGGGGAAACCCAGUGUGAUUCGUCACACUAUCAUUAACUGAAUCCAUAGGUUAAUGAGGCGAACCGGGGGAACUGAAACAUCUAAGUACCCCGAGGAAAAGAAAUCAACCGAGAUUCCCCCAGUAGCGGCGAGCGAACGGGGAGGAGCCCAGAGCCUGAAUCAGCAUGUGUGUUAGUGGAAGCGUCUGGAAAGGCGCGCGAUACAGGGUGACAGCCCCGUACACAAAAGCGCAUGUGCUGUGAGCUCGAUGAGUAGGGCGGGACACGUGGUAUCCUGUCUGAAUAUGGGGGGACCAUCCUCCAAGGCUAAAUACUCCUGACUGACCGAUAGUGAACCAGUACCGUGAGGGAAAGGCGAAAAGAACCCCGGCGAGGGGAGUGAAAAAGAACCUGAAACCGUGUACGUACAAGCAGUGGGAGCACAGGUUUACCUGUGUGACUGCGUACCUUUUGUAUAAUGGGUCAGCGACUUAUAUUCUGUAGCAAGGUUAACCGAAUAGGGGAGCCGGAGGGAAACCGAGUCUUAAUUGGGCGUUAAGUUGCAGGGUAUAGACCCGAAACCCGGUGAUCUAGCCAUGGGCAGGUUGAAGGUUGGGUAACACUAACUGGAGGACCGAACCGACUAAUGUUGAAAAAUUAGCGGAUGACCUGUGGCUGGGGGUGAAAGGCCAAUCAAACCGGGAGAUAGCUGGUUCUCCCCGAAAGCUAUUUAGGUAGCGCCUCGUGAAUUCAUCUCCGGGGGUAGAGCACUGUUUCGGCUAGGGGGCCAUCCCGGCUUACCAACCCGAUGCAAACUGCGAAUACCGGAGAAUGUUAUCACGGGAGACACACGGCGGGUGCUAACGUCCGUCGUGAAGAGGGAAACAACCCAGACCGCCAGCUAAGGU
rnacentral:rRNA from 1 species